CAGCCGUAAACUAUGCUCGCUAGGUGUCAGGCAUGGCGCGACCGUGUCUGGUGCCGCAGGGAAGCCGUGAAGCGAGCCACCUGGGAAGUACGGCCGCAAGGCUGAAACUUAAAGGAAUUGGCGGGGGAGCACAACAACGGGUGGAGCCUGCGGUUUAAUUGGACUCAACGCCGGACAACUCACCGGGGACGACGGCAAUAUGUAGGCCAGGCUGAAGACCUUGCCUGAAUCGCUGAGAGGAGGUGCAUGGCGUAGACGUCU
rnacentral:rRNA from 1 species